GCUCAUGUGUGGCCCAAUCAGAUGCCAGUGCUGAGCUGGCUGUCUUUGGCAGGGUAGAUUCAAACAGAAGUUGUUGCAUGGAGGAAGACAUGUUCUGUGUGAAUAUAAAUCCUGAUACUUCAUUCAGUAGAUUAUGAUUAGGUAUCUACGGCCCCAGAGGGUGAUAUGACUUCCUAAAUCCACGUGGCCAGUGACAGCUAGGCCAAGAACUGGAAGCUGGCUCUUCUGAUGCUCGAUCUGAUGAGAAAAUGGAGGCCAGAGAGAGAUUACUGCAUGCAUGCUAUUCUCUGGGUAAAUGGGAAAACUGAGACUGACCCAGACAUCACCAGAGGGAGGCCAUGGAUGAGACUGUAUUCUGAGUGUAAGAAGAAGAGGAAUGUUGGAAAUCCCAAAGACAUUCUGGUUGUAGCUUUGAGAGUUAUUUUACAUUCCCAAGCUUAUCCUUUCUUACCUAAACAGUAGGAUAAUUACGUCUUUUUGGAACAUUCAACAUAAGGAUUGGAUCAACUCCUAAGUAAAGUGUCUAGCACAUUAUAGAUAAUCGAUAAACAGUAGCUGUCGUUAUU